ensembl:lncRNA
AUUCUGUUGGGUGCUAAAUACUGCAAAUUAGAGCAUGCAUUUCCUAUAAAUGUUCAACAGUUUCAGAUUGGCCAUGAUUUGCCUUUAUUUUGACUGCUACCAGCCAGGACUGGACAGCACACAGACACUUCUUCCAUUUGAUCUGCAAACUCAGAUGCAACAACUACUUUGUUGGAGGGACAACAUGACCAAGUCUUUCUCACCCAACAGCUGACUGAAGGACCCAGCAAGCUGCUCCUGGAUGCAGUGGAAGGUUGGAUUGCUUCAGCAGCCCUGACCUGCCCCCAGCAUGGUGAUGCUUGGAAGGAAAUCCUACAACCUGAGCACACACCCAGCUUCUUGCAGUCAUGCUGUCCUGCAUAAAGGCAACAGAUACCAUGAUCCAAACCAGGCUGUUGGGCCAAGAUAAAAGGUACCUGCUUCUAAUUCCUUUGCUGACAACAUGGCUGGGCUCAUUGUGGUGGAGAAACCAACCCUACACGACGUGGGAAGAAGGCAAAGGAGAAUACCCUGGUUUUCAGGGAGUGGUUUCCACUGUGUUCCAUCCAGACGUGCAACCAUCCCCUACAACUCUCUGCUCUGAUCUCAUCCUGGAGCCGGCUACAGGGGGCUGCCUGUGACACCAAGCAGGGCUGAAAAGGUGUUUCUGCAUUCUGGGUGAUGUUUAGACAUUCACACUUGUAAGAAUAAUAUUAUUUCUCCAAAAAAUCUUUGAGUGUGUUGGAGAUUAGUUUGGGUUUUGUGAUAUGCUAAAAGUUGGAAAGCAAUAAAGACUUUUUAUUGUGUAAAGUCA